AAAUUGAACAAAAAUCAACCAAACAACGGAAAAGACACGCAAGUGAAGACAAAUAUGAGCAAGAUUUCAAAUGACUUAUAGUCACAGAGGAAGGAUACUACUGUUCUGUGUGCCAAAAAUACGGCACAAAAGCAAGAAACAGGACAGAAACCUGGAUCGAAAGGCCUUAAAUACAUGCUGAUGCAUAAAAUUGUAAAUGAAAGAAGAGAUAAAAGAGAUAAAUUUUUGAAAAAAUAAAAUCAAAGAAUAUUUGACAAUUAAUAUGACUACUUCUAUUUAUGUUUGUUCAACUCCAUUAAAUGUGAAUAUUAUACUAAUCUUUAUUUCUGUGACCCCCACGUGCACCCACAGUAAAUUAAAAAAGGUUGGAAAUUUAAAAAAAAACAAACCACCCGGAUGCAAGUUAUUUUUUUAAAACACCCACCUUACCUUAGUGAAAAAAGGAAAACACUGU
rnacentral:lncRNA from 1 species